CUCAUUAAAUCAGUUAUAGUUUAUUUGAUGGUUCCUUUUAUUUCACUACUUGGAUAACCGUGGUAAUUCUAGAGCUAAUACAUGCGCAAGGUCCCGAGCGCGGAGGGUAGGGCUUCACGGCUCUACUCUUGCAUGCGUAGAGGGAUGUGUUUAUUAGGUUAAACAACCAGCAUUUUUUCAUUUCUGGUGAUUCAUAGUAACUCUUUCGGAUCGCAUUCAUG
rnacentral:rRNA from 1 species